CAGGCUCUAGGGGGUGGGAGUCAGAUUUCACCUUUUCUCUCUCAUCUGGCAGCAGAAGCACCGACUCACAAGGAGGAUGAGGAUGUAGUCCAGAGGCUGCUGGGCUAUGUCACUCUGAAGGUGGUAUGUUGAAUUGUACAACUCUGCACAAAGACAGAAAGAAAAACAGAGUUUGCCUGCACCGAAAAACAGUCCCAGCUCUCCAAUGCAAACACAAUCUGACACAUGCUAAAAAUUGCCUGAAGCACUGGACCACGCAUGGCGUGUGAUUUGAGGCCUGUGAGAGUUGAGACCGCUGCUUUCAACUGACAGGGCUGGUUCUCCCGUCUCUCGCUGUCCUGAAUCCUGAGCUGCCCAAGAAACACUUAAGAUUAUUUUUAAGUCUUCAAAGAAGAAAAGCCGGAGUGGGCAGAGCGAGUACUGAACCUAAGUGGGCCUAAGCCGCCUGGGUUGGGGCCGACUCCGCUGGCACCCAGACCUUCUGAAGGACCUCGGAGCUGUCAUCGCAGGCGCCCAGGGUUUGUUUUCUGCCUUUUUGUGUUUUGUUUUUUUUUCCAGAGGGGGGUGUUUGUUUGUUUAGAGGGGGGGGACUUUAGGUUUUGCUCUUUGGGGCAGAUUCAUUCCGAGUCCUUCUUUGAGACCAAGCUAACCCCAUGCUGGGGUGGGGGGACCAACACCCGCACAACUGUCACAACAAAAGGCGCUACCCAAAGUGUGUCUACACGUCCGCGAAACCAGUGGCCCGACAUAGAGAUGCACUUUUGUGCCUCUCUAAUCUCGGACGUCCAUCUGGCCCUAGCGGGCGCGGGCUGCAAAAACGCGACAGGAGGGGCGGGGCGCGUGCACGAAUUCCGAGGCGCGGGCACGCGCGCCCGCUCUCCUUCACGUUCACCUUGACUGCAGGGGGGGCGGAGGGAUGGGACUGUGGUCCUCCCCCCUCCCGCCCCACUCUUCUCCCCACCCCCAGCUGCUGUCCUGGCUAGACGCCGGCGGGGAGCGGGGUUGUGGGGAGGCUGCACCCGCGCACCGGUCGCCGCAGCGGCCCGGCAGCCGCGCGCUCUGGGCAGUGAUGUCAACCGCAUCCGCCGCAGCGCCCCCCCAACCGCCCGCACCCUCCUCGCCCGCACCGCGGCCGGCCGGAACCCCAGCCUCGCGCCUAAGGCUCGGGGCGAGGAGCAAAGGGUGUGCGGAUGCCCUGGGUCCCCCAUUCCAUCUGCCGAGGCGUGAGAGAUCCGGAGUGGACCCACCGCGAUGUCACUCAGCGGUGCCGCCGCAGCAACUAGGGAAGGGGAAGGGGACUGGGAGAGGGGAGGAGGCGAUGGAGGUAGGUGUAGGUUUGACGUCCCGGGCUCCCGAGAGGACUCUGCCUCGGACUGGGGCCACCAGGGUGGCGUCAAGGAGCGGAGGGCACCGACCACUGCAGAUGCGGCGCGUGUGCGCGCGGCGAAAGCGCCCCCUUCUCCCGGGAUCCAAACGGAUAAACGGAAGUGUGGGUGAGUGUGGGGGUGCGAAUCGCCACCUGGGCCUUGGCUUUCCCGCUCUUCCGAGCGCUCCCACUUCUCACUUUCCCCAAAUCCGCAUUUUCCUUGGCACUGCUCUCCGGAGCACCGAGGAGAGGGAGGUGCCCGGGAGCAGUGAGAAUGACGUGUGCUGGUGCAGAGGGGGUGGGGGGCUGCGGGCCGGGCUCUGUGGACCGGCUCCUAAUCCUCUUGUUUUCGGAACUGUCAGCAGAUGUGGCUUCUCUUAGCUGAAUAAUCCUUUAAAGGAAUAAUAAUUUUUAAAAAGGACAUCGACCUCACCCAAGGAAGACUGUGAACGAGAUCAGGGCUUGUAGAUCUACUGCCUUUGGAUGCGCUGGCUGAAACGCUGCGGACUGCAACCAGGCUCUUAAAAAGGAGAACAAAAAGAUGAAGACCUUGGGCGGACGCCGGGACAAAGCACCUUGCGCUCUGGAGCACUAGUUAUCUCCUCGGCCGGAGGGCGCCUGCCCGGCGUGCGGACCUCUGAGGGAUCCUGCCACAUUAUAUACGAGUGACCUUUUAAAUCUACGCCCACCCUUUACCCGCGAGAGGACUGCAGCAGGCGAGUUCCGGAAGGCUGAUUCCCCAGAUCCCGACCCCGGACCGUGGCAGUUCGCCCCUCAGGCACGCCCGGCCAAACUGUGCCCGGACUCAGCGAUCAAGGAAAAAGCCUGGAAACGAAAGGAUGCGGGAGAACAAAGAGCCUUCGGAAGACGUCGCUGUUAUCUCAUUGUCUGUGUGAUUGGGGGAGCUGCGGUAGGGAGGAUGCUGUGGUCCUGUCCUCCCGGCGCUCCCCCACCCCCACCCCUCUCCCUGCUGUCAGUGCGCACGCACACGCGCCGCUUUUUAUUUCUCUUUCCUGGUUUUCUCAUUCCAUCUCCUCCCCACCCCCUUCCUUUCUUUCACCUUUCCUUCCUUCCUCCGGAGAAAGGCCUCUCUCUCCGUGUUCACAGCGGACCUUGAUUUAAAUGUCCAUACAAUUAAGGCACGCGGUGAAUGCCAAGAAUGGGGCUGGCUGAGCACCAUGGGUCCGCGAGGGCCCGCCAAGGAAGAAGGCACCGAGCGGAGGAGUCCUCGGCAGACCUCAGCGCUGCGGCUGCGGCUGCGGCUGCGGCUGCGGCUGCGGGCGCGGCACGGCUGGAGGGGUGGCUGGGUCCUGCGGCAGGCUGUCCCGCACUGGAGCCCUUGGGGUGGGGAGGUGUGUAGCUUGUGACAGGGGCUUAGAGGUGCAAACAGACUAAGGGAGGGAAACCGAAGUGAUUCUGUGACAGAAACAGAUUUGUGCAAACGCAGAUAUGGCUGGGGGGCGGGAGGAGAGUCGCCUUAAGCGCGUGGCCAAGUCCUUCUGUGCAUAUUUUUAUCCCGGCUCGGAUGCAUUGUACGUGGAUCGACGUCUUCCUCUGUGGCUGUGGUUUUGUUCUGGGCUUAGCUUUUGGUUUGCCCUUAAAAAUAUAUAUCUGGCAUCCAGGAGACUGGCAGACUGCCUCAGGGACUGGACUAUGGAUAUAUUGUUCUUGAGGGUUUGGGUGGGGGGGAGGAUGACCAUUUGGAAGGAGGGGGAAGCUGUUGGUUACCCUUUGCUGUAGAGCUGUGAGCACCCUACAGGCUUAAGGAAGUCAUUGGGCUAUGCAGACAAGAAGGAAUAAGCUCUUGGCCAGUUCCGGAGCUGCAUCAGGAUUGAGAGCCUGGCCAGGGCUCCAAGGAGCAUCUCGUGCCCUCCCUGCGCUGUUAUUGCAGUUUCAGGGUUGAUCCAAGAACUGCAGAGGAGAGACAUACCUACAGCAGGGAGGCAUUCCUUUUCAAACCUGAACAGGAGGAAAAAUUAGCAAGUGCACAGGUGGGUUCUAAGGAGUGUUUUGAAAGAUGCUAUCCAAGAACAGAAAAGGGUUAAGCCUCCAUCAUCCUGAAGAACCUGCUGCCUGAAUCAGGCCUUGGUCCCCAUCACAGCCCUCGAGCCUCAGCUGGUCCUAGAGACCCCUAUCAUAGUCCCAUCCCAUCUCCAGCUCAGCAUUAACAGCCAAGCCACUGCGCAUGGUGGCAGAACCAAAACUCUAAUUUCCAGGUGGAGAAACUGGAGGAGGGGCAGUUGAAGGAAGAGCAGGGAAAGGAGGUUAAGAGGUGGACCUUCCUACCCAGAAAGCCUGCUGCCUCCCCUCACCCAUAUGGCAGAGGCCUGCCUUUGCAAGGCCAAGCCCAAAGGGAUGCUCAGGAGUUUGAUUUGAUUCCUGAUACAGUAAUCAAGGCCCAAAGAGUGUCAGUUCAAGCUAACUGAGGACUUCUUCUCUCCAAAGCCUCCUCAGUCUAGCCCAGUAAAUAAACUAGUAUUCAAGGAUACCAUGGAUGGGCACGGCUCCCUGCCUCAUUUCCUCACUAGUAUUUGAGUACCUACUAUGCACCUAUCACUGCAGGUAUUCAUCUUAAGUUCUUCAUUUGCCCUCCUAAGGGAGUGUUCCGGAGUCAGGCCAAGAUCAAGUGCACUGCACCCCACCUAGGCAUUAACAGAACCACUUCUGGCUCUACAGAAAUGGGCCACAAGCUCCUCUGCCCUGCAGAGGGCAAGCUGCAGUGCACACCCUGCAGACUGCAGUGGCUGUGCUGCGGCUGAGACCCAGGAGGCAAGCUUGGCUACAGGACAGAAAGGGUUGUCAGAGGAGGCACAGUAGCCAUUGCCUUCAAAAUACCUUCCUGGAAGCUAGUGUCUCCCUGGUCCUGGUGUGCCUACCACCCUUUCUGAAAAGGCUGGUGAAGAGAAGAGCCAGUGUGACAUGCCUCAUUGGAGAGACCAUCCCCUCAUCCUCCCCUACGCUCUCUAAGAAGACUGUUCCUGCGGUUCUUCUAAGCAUGGUCUAAGCCUCUGAUAACCAAACCCCUUGCCCCACAAAUGUGCACAUUAGUGAGCCUCUGCUCCUAACUGCUUCCCCGCAGUUCCUUCAGACAUUGCUAUAUCCUUCUCUAAUGUGUCCUCUGGUAUAAGCUCCCAAUGCCUCCCCGAGUAAUGCUCCUUUUAGGAGGAAAUCUAACACGCUUCACCCAGACAGCUUCUACCGCAAGGCCUGCAGGGUUUCUGCUGCAGAGACUCUGCCAUGGGAGGGUUUUUUUUUUUUUUUUUUUUAAUUACGUAAACUCUUGUUCCAGAAAGCUUUAAUGUGUGGGAGUGUUCUGGGUUGGCUGGUCUGUGCGCAGCGAUGUAUUUGCCUGAGUCCACCAGGUCUCAUUAUAGAAUGGUUUUUUAUGUGGGGUUUUAAUGGCCUUCUCUGUCCCAUGUGUAAUUUCAAGUUCACUUUUGUGUUCACCAAAUGAAGUAUCAGGGUCAAUGUGAGCUGCCUUCCUUCCUCUAAAUCGAGGGCCCAUUUAUACCCAGCAUUACUUAUGCAAGGAACCUAAAGAUUUCUGCUCUUUGAAGAUAUUUGAUUCCCAGCAUCUCCUCUACCUAUUUUAGCCCUUCUAAUGGCAUCUUAUGGCUAAAAUGAAAGAGGAAACAGUUUUUAAAAUGUAGACCCAGUUGACUCAGUUUGCUGAAUGAAUAUAGUGAGGAAGCCCUGGGUAGCUAUACCUGCCCAACACUUUCGAUGGAUUUAGGAAUGUAACAAAGGAAAAUCUGCCAAUAUUCUUUCCCCUGCCAGAGACAGACAGCAGGGGUGGGGGGGAAUGACCCUUAAUGGAAGUAAAAGUAAACACUAAGUUACUUCUGUAACCAAGGAGGAUGGGAGCUUUUGAGAAUGCACAAGGGGCUGUAGCCAGAGAAAUUAAUACUAGGAGAAGGGUAUGUCCUCAGGAGGCAUUUGUCAGUACACAUGCAUAUAUUCAUUUUCACACAGUACCCCUUGCUGACAUUUAUAGCAAGGCAACUGACCACACCAGAAGUCUACCCAUCUAUACUGUCUCCACAGGGAAAUUUUCUUUUUCCCACUAUUAAACUUACAUAAUAUCCGUCCUCCAUUCCAACCUUAGAUGCAGUCCUCUGGGGGCAGCUGCAAAGCUUCUCCCUGGGACAGAUGGAGUUCCCCACCCCCUCCUCAUCUACUCUGUGGGUGGUUUAGAGCCCCAUGAGUCAACAUGGGCUGACUGUGGAGUGGUGGUGGUGGUGGUGGUGUGUGUGAGUGUGUGUGUGUGUGAUGUGGCUGCUGAUUCACACUGACAAGUGUGUCAAUAAUGAGAAUUACGUUACCUAAUAAAGAUUUUUCUUCUAAAUUCCAUCUACAAUUCUUUCAUUGGGUGUUUUUGCCAAGUCUUAAUUUGUUAAAAAAGUAUAUUUCAUUGCAUCUCAAAUGCAGAUAUGGAACAAGAAGAAGGAGUUCAAAUGGAAUUUAUUGGAGUUGAAGCUGCUUUAUACUGGAUCUGCAAGUGGCCUGGAGACAUUUUUGAAGCACCAAAUUUAGAUGGGGGUGGGAGAAAUAGGCCUUAAGAAAAAGUAAUGUUGGGGUCAGGAAGUGUCAGAAUUUCUCAGUAGGUAGGUCCGCCUUUUGUUUUCUUAUCCUCUGGUCACAAAAUGGAAACUGUUGUCCAGGAAUACGGGCCUGCGUCAUGGCUGCAGAAGUCCAAAACCACCUCCAGGAACACAAGGAGCUUUGCUCUCCAAAGUGGGGUGUGGGGUCAUUUUAAAUUCAAUCUAUCUGUUGCUUAAACAGACACAAUACAAAAAUUUGAGACCUGGGACCUAGGAGGCAACACGACCUUAUUUUGCUUCUUGGUGUCACGUUUUCAAGGCGUUCUGCUGGCGAGAGCCUGAGUUCCACAGCCCGCAGAGGCUCAGGGCUGCCUUCGGCCUGCGCCCAGGCGCACCUAGGCCACACUAGAGGCUUUCUCCCUCCUCUUUCUUUUUUUUUUUUUUUUUUUCUAAUGAACUUGAGCCAUAGCAAGGCAGAGAGGAGCAGCCACUGGUUUCUCUUUUCUUUUUCGGCUCCUGUUUUCUCCGUUGUGACUUUUUUCUUUUUUCCUUUCCUGAAUCAGCUGGAUGUGGGACUCCUGAGAUUUGGGUCAUUUGAGUUCCCUAAGGUUUGGACUGUUCCCAGGUGCAUGUAGAUCUGAAUGUGUUUCAGCCCCGUUCCAGAAUGGGCCCCAAGCCAAGUCCUAAGACUCCAGCUACACAGAGAAGUCAGGGUGCCCUCUGCACGGGACCACCAACAGUGGGCACAGUCCUGCAGCGCCCACAUUGCCCCCUUUUCCACGCACCUGGGUUUCCCCAACUUCACUCUGGAGCAGUCACCACUGACCUUCAACUUUAGAGAAUGAGGAACAUUAAGCUAUAUGGAAAGGAAUGAGAAGAAGAAACCGAAAGACCAACCUGCUGGGCAGACGGCUUCUUGCCAGAGUAGCUGGGACCAGGAAUGCUGAGGAACAAGUGUCCACUCACUCUCAUUUCCUUCCGGGGUAGGAAAGAUGGAGGUUUCCAACACCACCAUUCAAAAGAGAAGCUGGGUUCCUGCUUUGGAACGGAAGGAGGGAAGCAUCUGCCAUGCCUGACCUGAGGGGAUCAGGAGCUACCCGGAGUCCUUCCAGUCUCUUUUCCUCUGUGAAUUUGUCUGUGGGCACUGGGUUUGUUCUGAUCCUCUGGUAGCUAACACCGGAAAAGCACCAUCUCCACCCAACAUUAUGGUGCAAUGGGACCAUAUUCAUGGUGCAAAUAAACAUCUUAACAUCUUU